AGAAUCAAAGCGUUUGAAACAAAAGUAUUAUUAUGUAAAUAAUAAAAAACAAUAUUUCAAUACAAGUCUUUCAAAAGUAUUCUGGAAUUAACGGAUGCAAUUUGGUAAAACUUGGUUUAGACUAAUAAGUAGGGCACACCGUUCGGACCAUCGACAGAAUAACGUUCGUGUUUUUCAGAUUUCAAGACAUAGAUUUGCUGAUGAAUAACAUCGCAAAGAUCUUGGUGUAUUGUCUUCGUACAUGGCCACAACAACCCUUCAAAUAGACCAGACUAAACUUAAUUAACUUGACCACCAUAUUAACAUUCAAGAAGUUCGGCCUACAUGUCAGAUUUAUGAAUGUGAACAGCAGGAUAUCGAUUUUAAGGAUGCUUUAGGGUCAAUGACAAUGAAAUCAUGAGAGAUAAAGGCUAAAAUGUGAGACUGUCAAUCUGACUAACCUUGAAGUGAAUAAAUGGAAAAAUGUUUCUUUCAAUAGCAUGGGCAUUUAAGGAAGAGGAAACAGAGGCGCUUAUAUGAUAGAACAGAUAAAGCAGGAGUGAUAAGGAAAGAUAC